rnacentral:rRNA from 1 species
CCCUUAGAUGUCCGGGGCUGCACGCGCGCUACACUGUAGAAAGCAGCGUGCGUUAAAACCUUUCCUGAAAAGGAUGGGUAACCCCAGCAAAAUUCUACGUGCUUGGGAUAGAGAUUUGCAAUUUUCUCUCUUGAACGAGGAAUUCCCAGUAAGUGCGAGUCAUCAGCUCGCGUUGAUUACGUCCCUGCCCUUUGUACACACCGCCCGUCGCUACUACCGAUUGGGAAAAUUUUAGAGAGUCCUGGACUGAUGAUUGUUCGGCUUCACGGCCUUACUUUCGUCGGGAAAGAAUUCGAUAAUAUUUUUCUAGAGGAAGUAAAAGUCGUAACA